UGAUCCUGGCUCAGGAUGAACGCUGGCGGCGUGCCUAAUACAUGCAAGUCGAGCGAACGGACGAGAAGCUUGCUUCUCUGAUGUUAGCGGCGGACGGGUGAGUAACACGUGGAUAACCUACCUAUAAGACUGGGAUAACUUCGGGAAACCGGAGCUAAUACCGGAUAAUAUUUUGAACCGCAUGGUUCAAAAGUGAAAGACGGUCUUGCUGUCACUUAUAGAUGGAUCCGCGCUGCAUUAGCUAGUUGGUAAGGUAACGGCUUACCAAGGCAACGAUGCAUAGCCGACCUGAGAGGGUGAUCGGCCACACUGGAACUGAGACACGGUCCAGACUCCUACGGGAGGCAGCAGUAGGGAAUCUUCCGCAAUGGGCGAAAGCCUGACGGAGCAACGCCGCGUGAGUGAUGAAGGUCUUCGGAUCGUAAAACUCUGUUAUUAGGGAAGAACAUAUGUGUAAGUAACUGUGCACAUCUUGACGGUACCUAAUCAGAAAGCCACGGCUAACUACGUGCCAGCAGCCGCGGUAAUACGUAGGUGGCAAGCGUUAUCCGGAAUUAUUGGGCGUAAAGCGCGCGUAGGCGGUUUUUUAAGUCUGAUGUGAAAGCCCACGGCUCAACCGUGGAGGGUCAUUGGAAACUGGAAAACUUGAGUGCAGAAGAGGAAAGUGGAAUUCCAUGUGUAGCGGUGAAAUGCGCAGAGAUAUGGAGGAACACCAGUGGCGAAGGCGACUUUCUGGUCUGUAACUGACGCUGAUGUGCGAAAGCGUGGGGAUCAAACAGGAUUAGAUACCCUGGUAGUCCACGCCGUAAACGAUGAGUGCUAAGUGUUAGGGGGUUUCCGCCCCUUAGUGCUGCAGCUAACGCAUUAAGCACUCCGCCUGGGGAGUACGACCGCAAGGUUGAAACUCAAAGGAAUUGACGGGGACCCGCACAAGCGGUGGAGCAUGUGGUUUAAUUCGAAGCAACGCGAAGAACCUUACCAAAUCUUGACAUCCUUUGACAACUCUAGAGAUAGAGCUUUCCCCUUCGGGGGACAAAGUGACAGGUGGUGCAUGGUUGUCGUCAGCUCGUGUCGUGAGAUGUUGGGUUAAGUCCCGCAACGAGCGCAACCCUUAAGCUUAGUUGCCAUCAUUAAGUUGGGCACUCUAAGUUGACUGCCGGUGACAAACCGGAGGAAGGUGGGGAUGACGUCAAAUCAUCAUGCCCCUUAUGAUUUGGGCUACACACGUGCUACAAUGGACAAUACAAAGGGCAGCGAAACCGCGAGGUCAAGCAAAUCCCAUAAAGUUGUUCUCAGUUCGGAUUGUAGUCUG
rnacentral:rRNA from 1 species